UCCCCAAAUCACCGCUUGAUGAACGAAACCUAAAACCCAUUCGUAAUCAGACGGUAACCCGCCCCUGCUCUCCGAUUCGCUCAAUUUCCACGAUCACGUUGAUUUUCAAUUUCACCCCUCCGAUCAUUCUCAUAUCGAUCUUGCCGUCAACAUAGAGAAAGAUCGGUGGAGUUAAUUUGUGUCAAUCCUCACGAAUCACCGAACGGAAAAUUUUCGAUUUUCAAAUAAACCUACACAGAACGCGUUAAAGACGAACUGUUCUUUGCAAUCUUCGUCCACUUUGCUCCGCCUUACGAGUUCAGGAUUCCGGAGGUACGUACGAUCUCAUCUACUCUUAAAAUCUUCAUAAGUUUCUCAUUUUCCGUAUAAAUUACCAUUGUUUUUGUUCAGAAUCAGCUCUCAGAUCCCGCCUUGAUCGCCUAUCUUCACCAGAAAUACUUUAAGGCUCGAGUUCUUUAGGACAUUAAUUCCUCGAAAAGCUUUCUGGAAUUAAUUCGUUAGAUUAAUUAACGAUUUUCAAAAUUUUCCCCAAAUUUGGUUAUUGCAUAACGACGAAUUAGGGUACUAGUUCUAUUUCUAACAGAGCGGUCGGCAGUCGACGUCUCGUUUUCCUUUUUCUUUUUCUCCAGCUGCACUCCAGGAUGGAUUGUCAAACGCAAUAUCACAUUCAUAUGGCGUAAUCAGUUGCGGUUUCGUUUGGCCACGCAAUGAGAAAUCUGUGGAGCCACCUGUUCGGGUCCCGCAUGUACCCGUUGCGCGACCCGUAAUCGCAACGACCCAAUUGCAAGAAGUGGAGUUGUGAAGGAUGAGGAAUUUUGAACUUCUAAGCCCAUACAAAAUUGAUGUUCUUUAGUCAUGAAAUCUACGAAUUUCCUCGUUAAACAAGGAGGGAAGUUGAUUCGGGUCAUAGCUAGGUCCUUAUAUCUAGCACGUAUAACAUAUGGCCACGGAGGAGCAAACUAAAUUACAUCGGAUGAAAGCGCUUCACUAUGUGACUGACUCAAGAAUUUAAUUUGCAAAGGAAUUCUUUCCUUCCCAAAAAUGUUGAGGACAGAGAAGCUGCUAGCUAGACAUGACAUGAUGCAGCUUGUACAAUACAACCCUAGAACGUAAUAUGCAAUUGUACCAAAAUUAAAGGUUGUGUCAGCAUGCAGUUCCGUGAAUCACAAGAUUCGAGGUGUACGUACGACAAUAUCCAGAUAUCAUGGUGGCUUGCAUGUUACACACUCAAAAGGUAGCUAAUGCAACCAAAUUUACAUGAAGGGGUUGGGUAGUCCUGCCUCCUUGCCUUAUAUAAAACCAAAGAAAAUCCUUUUUCUUUUCUUAAAGAAAGGUGUGUGUUAGUUACUUUAUGCUCUAAAGUGAGACGCACUUCCAUUAUUUAUUCAGCCUUCCACUUGGUUACUUUAUGGUACAUUUGCUAAAAAGAAAGAAUAAUUAAUUAACUUCACUUUAUGCCCCCCCUCUUCAAUAUUCUGAUCUACGCAUCCUUUUUGAACUCUUACUAUAUUCAUAAAAAUAUGAGCCUACAGCUCAAUCUAUGUAACCCUUCUUCAUCACUUUCACCUACAUCUUGUGCAAUUUUUACAGAACUUGGCCAUUAAAAGGUGAGAAUUUCUCAACAAGUACCUGUCUGUUUAUCUUGCAACUCAAAGGUUUAUGUUUAGCAACUAACAAGACCAUGCCUAGUAUUAUAUGUUAGAUGAUGUAAUAUUAAAUCUAUUUUCAUACAUGAGCUUAAACGCGGUUGGGCUAUUAAUGAUUUAACAUGCCUAUUUGUUAUCAUGUUGUUUUCACACUCCCAUUAAAUAUUUGAUUUUUUACUUAGCUUGUUGGGUCUUCGAUCUACUCUAUAAACGAGGAGAAGUC